UAUACUGUGCCUGAAUAUACGGGCUAUUUUGAUGUAAUAGAUUAUGGAAGUUGGAUUCCCGGUAUAA
rnacentral:tRNA from 1 species